AUACGUAGGGGGCGAGCGUUGUCCGGAAUGAUUGGGCGUAAAGGGCGCGUAGGCGGCCCGGUAAGUCUGGAGUGAAAGUCCUGUUUUUAAGAUGGGACUUGCUUUGGAUACUGUCGGGCUUGAGUGCAGGAGAGGUAAGUGGAAUUCCCAGUGUAGCGGUGAAAUGCGUAGAGAUUGGGAGGAACACCAGUGGCGAAGGCGACUUACUGGACUGUAACUGACGCUGAGGCGCGAAAGUGUGGGGAGCAAACAGGAUUAGAUACCCUGGUAGUCCACACUGUAAACGAUGAAUGCUAGGUGUAGGGGGUAUCGACCCCUUCUGUGCCGCAGUCAACACAAUAAGCAUUCCGCCUGGGGAGUACGGCCGCAAGGUUGAAACUUAAAGGAAUUGACGGGG
rnacentral:rRNA from 1 species